UGUAAAUGUGUGCAGCGCCACCUGGUGGUGUUGGUUGGUAGAGGAAGUGCUGAAAGCGACUGAUGGUCUGACCCCCCUCCUCCUUUCAGGGUGGAGCCUGCUGGAGGCCGAUUCUUGACACCAGGUCCAUGGAGAUAUUCCUGUCAACUCACCAUCGACACAAACACAGUGAACAGAAAACUCAAA